UGCGAAUGGCUCAUUAAAUCAGUUAUCGUUUAUUUGAUAGUACCUUACUACAUGGAUAACCGUGGUAAUUCUAGAGCUAAUACAUGCUAAAAACCCCGACUUCGGAAGGGGUGUAUUUAUUAGAUAAAAAACCAAUGCCCUUCGGGGCUCUCUGGUGAUUCAUAAUAACUUAACGAAUCGCAUGGCCUUGCGCCGGCGAUGGUUCAUUCAAAUUUCUGCCCUAUCAACUUUCGAUUGUAGGAUAGAGGCCUACAAUGGUAUCAACGGGUAACGGGGAAUUAGGGUUCGAUUCCGGAGAGGGAGCCUGAGAAACGGCUACCACAUCCAAGGAAGGCAGCAGGCGCGCAAAUUACCCAAUCCCGACACGGGGAGGUAGUGACAAUAAAUACUGAUACAGGGCUCUUUUGGGUCUUGUAAUUGGAAUGAGUACAAUCUAAAUCCCUUAACGAGGAACAAUUGGAGGGCAAGUCUGGUGCCAGCAGCCGCGGUAAUUCCAGCUCCAAUAGCGUAUAUUAAAGUUGUUGCAGUUAAAAAGCUCGUAGUUGAACCUUGGGCCUGGCUGGCCGGUCCGCCUCACCGCGUGCACUGGUUCGGCCGGGCCUUUCCUUCUGGGGAACCGCAUGCCCUUCACUGGGCGUGUUGGGGAACCAGGACUUUUACUUUGAAAAAAUUAGAGUGUUCAAAGCAGGCCUUCGCUCGAAUACAUUAGCAUGGAAUAAUAGAAUAGGACGUGCGGUUCUAUUUUGUUGGUUUCUAGGACCGCCGUAAUGAUUAAUAGGGAUAGUCGGGGCCAUCCGUAUUCAAUUGUCAGAGGUGAAAUUCUUGGAUUUAUUGAAGACGAACUACUGCGAAAGCAUUUGGCAAGGAUGUUUUCAUUAAUCAGUGAACGAAAGUUAGGGGAUCGAAGACGAUCAGAUACCGUCGUAGUCUUAACCAUAAACUAUGCCGACUAGGGAUCGGACGGUGUUAUUAUUUUGACCCGUUCGGCACCUUACGAGAAAUCAAAGUCUUUGGGUUCUGGG
rnacentral:rRNA from 1 species